rnacentral:sRNA from 1 species
CGAGGAGGACGGCAAAGACCUGGACUUCUACGACUUUGAGCCGCUGCCCACCCUCCCCGAGGACGAGGAGAACGUGUCUCUGGCUGACAUCCUCUCCCUGCGGGACCGCGGCCUCAGCGAGCAGGAAGCCUGGGCUGUGUGCCUGGAGUGCAGCCUGUCCAUGCGGAGCGUGGCCCACGCUGCCAUCUUCCAGAGCCUGUGCAUCACGCCCGACACCCUGGCCUUCAACACCAGCGGGAACGUGUGUUUCAUGGAGCAGCUCAGCGAUGACCCUGAGGGUGCCUUCGUUCCCCCCGAGUUCGACGUGACCGGGAACACCUUUGAGCCUCCACCCCAUGAGGCUCCCCUCUCCACCCCGCUGCCCUGAGCAUCCAUGGGCUCCAGUGGCCCAGCCUGGAAGACUCCGACCCCUCCCCCAUCGCUGGCCUGUUUUCUUGGCAUUCAUCCACGACAUGCAGGCUUAGCAAGUGUCUGGGCUCACAGACAGCAGGGUGAGUGGGGUCCUGCCUCUUGCUGGUUCUGGUCUACACAAGUGACAGACUUGAUGUGAGACCCACAGGCUGGGGAUCCAAUAAUGCUGGGACGUGAGAAUGGGGCCCCAAGGCUCUUGUUUGCAUCAGAGGCCUCCAGAGGCCACUG